rnacentral:rRNA from 1 species
GACGAACGCUGGCGGCGUGCUUAACACAUGCAAGUCGAACGGAAAGGCCCUGCUUUUGUGGGGUGCUCGAGUGGCGAACGGGUGAGUAACACGUGAGUAACCUGCCCUUGACUUUGGGAUAACUUCAGGAAACUGGGGCUAAUACCGGAUAGGAGCUCCUGCUGCAUGGCGGGGGUUGGAAAGUUUCGGCGGUUGGGGAUGGACUCGCGGCUUAUCAGCUUGUUGGUGGGGUAGUGGCUUACCAAGGCUUUGACGGGUAGCCGGCCUGAGAGGGUGACCGGCCACAUUGGGACUGAGAUACGGCCCAGACGCCUACGGGAGGCAGCAGUGGGGAAUAUUGCACAAUGGGCGGAAGCCUGAUGCAGCAACGCCGCGUGCGGGAUGACGGCCUUCGGGUUGUAAACCGCUUUCGCCGGUGACGAAGCGUGAGUGACGGUAAUGGGUAAAGAAGCACCGGCUAACUACGUG